rnacentral:rRNA from 1 species
AUGAUGUGGAGACAGCGUUCCAGAGCUCUGUGGCUGCGGGAAGGCGACAGAAAUACUAAGUACUUUCAGCGCAAGGCCUCGUGGAGACGGAAGAAAAACACAAUCAGCAAGCUCAAAGAUGAGAACGGCAACUGGGUAGAAGACAGACCCAAGCUUCAGGAGAUGACCACCCACUUUUUCAAGCAACUUUAUACCAAGGAGGAAGGGGUGAACCCUAAGGUGAUUGUAGACUGCUUGAAUGAGAGAGUGACAGGCGGGAUGAACGAGUCAUUGCUCAAAGAUUAUUCAGAAAAGGAGGUCAGCGACGCGCUGUUCCAAAUUGGGCCGCUGAAAGCCCCGGGGCCUGAUGGAUUCCAGGCCAGAUUCUUCCAAAGAAAUUGGAGCACGGUUAAACAGGAUGUGGUGAAUGCGGUCCUGAAAUUUUUCAAGGAUGGUAUCAUGCUAGAAGGAGUCAAUGACACGGUCAUAGUGCUAAUCCCGAAGAAUAACAACCCAUAA